rnacentral:rRNA from 1 species
CCUACGGGUGGCAGCAGUGAGGAAUAUUGGUCAAUGGGCGUAAGCCUGAACCAGCCAAGUCGCGUGAGGGAUGAAGGUUCUAUGGAUCGUAAACAUCUUUUAUAGGGGAAUAAAGUGCGGGACGUGUCCAGUAUUGUAUGUACAUUAUGAAUAAGGAUCGGCUAACUACGCGACAGCAGCCGCGGUAAUCCGGAGGUACCGAGCGUUAUCCGGAUUUAAUGGGUUUAAAGGGUGCGGCGGCGGCCUUUUAAGUCAGAGGUGAAAGUCUGUGGCUAAACCAUAGAAUUGCCGUUGAAACUGGGGGGCUUGAGUAUGUUUGAGGCAGGCGGAAUUCGUGGUGUAGCGGUGAAAUGCUUAG